ensembl:lncRNA
GGAAGCAGAAUUUGAAUGCAGGCCAACUCAAAUGUUGAAGCCUACAAUUAUAUCACCCAAGCUUUCAUUUAUGAUUGCUCAUGCUUUGAAAUUGUGAUGUCAGAAUUUGAUAAAGUGUGCCGUGCUAGGUGUAGCAAAUCAUUGCUUAUGAAAUCUACUGUGUUAUCUAAUAGAACCAAACUAAUAGAGCUAUCACAUAACUGAGAAACUUGUGUGGCUUAUUACAAAUGGAUGAAACCACAUAUUACCUUAAUGAAGACAGUAAUAUUUAAUAAGGUGUAGAAAAAACAGGUGAGUUGUUUGUUGCUGUGGUAAAUAAAGAAGUGUACUGAGUCUUUUGGACUACACAGAGUUAUGUAGUAUUGACUCUGAUGCUGAUUUGAGUUGUCUCAUUUUGUAUUUUUGUGCUUUGUCUUUUGUUACACAGAGUGAAAGAGAUCUUUGGUUUUGCCUUUGCUGACUGCUGAUCUGAUCGUCUCAAGUCUGGUGACCUGCUGCAGAAAACCCUCUCCCUCUACCAUUAACAAGCAAUUCAGUCUGUCCUAUCACUCUCCCUCUCCCUGCUCCAUCUUUUUUGACAAGCCAUUCUAUCUUCUAUCAUUUCUCCGCCACGAGCUCUAAGUUGACAAGCUUGAACCUGAGUUGAAAAGCAAAACAAGUUUGCCUGAAACCCAAGUUUGAGAUGAAACCAAGUUUGAGAUGAAACCAAGUUUGAGAUGAAACCAAGUUUUUGGAAUUGAAGUUACCACAACUUCAUCGAUCUGUUUUCAGAAUUCGGAGAGAUCUCCGCUCUCACGGCUCCUUCUUUCCUGUCAUUAAACUUUCAUAUCCACUCAUUUUGCUGGAAAUUACAAGUAAAAAGUUGAAUAUACAGUAGUAGAAUUACAGUACAGUAGAACUCACUGUAGAAACUACUUACAGAGCCCUACAUUUGUCAUUUUAAUUUUGCAUUACACUUUGAAAUAAACACUGAUAGUUUGGCUUACAAGUGCAAUUUGAUCAAUUAUAUAAACUUAUAUACACCUUUUUUUAGAUAUAUUUGUAUUAAGAUAAUCUGGUUAUUU